ACCAGACUCCUACGGGAGGCAGCAGUGGGGAAUAUUGGGCAAUGGGCGCAAGCCUGACCCAGCAACGCCGCGUGAAGGAAGAAGGCUUUCGGGUUGUAAACUUCUUUUCUUGGGGACGAAGAAAGUGACGGUACCCAAGGAAUAAGCCACGGCUAACUACGUGCCAGCAGCCGCGGUAAUACGUAGGUGGCAAGCGUUAUCCGGAUUUAUUGGGUGUAAAGGGCGUGUAGGCGGGAAUGCAAGUCAGAUGUGAAAACUAUGGGCUCAACCCAUAGCCUGCAUUUGAAACUGUAUUUCUUGAGUGCUGGAGAGGCAAUCGGAAUUCCGUGUGUAGCGGUGAAAUGCGUAGAUAUUAGGAGGAACACCAGUGGCGAAGGCGGUCUGCUGGACAGCAACUGACGGUGAGGCGCGAAAGCGUGGGGAGCAAACAGGAUUAGAUCCCCUCGUA
rnacentral:rRNA from 1 species